rnacentral:rRNA from 1 species
GACGAACGCUGGCGGCGUGCCUAAUACAUGCAAGUAGAACGCUGAAGUAGGAGCUUGCUUCUCUGGAUGAGUUGCGCACGGGUGAGUAACGCGUAGGUAACCUGCCUGUUAGCGGGGGAUAACUAUAGGAAACGAUAGCUAAUACCGCAUAAUAGUAGAUGUUGCAUUACAUUUGCUUAAAAGGUGCAAUUGCAUCACUACCAGAUGGACCUGCGUUGUAUUAGCUAGUUUGUGGGGUAACGGCUCACCAAGGCGACGAUACAGAGCCGACCUGAGAGGGUGAGCGGCCACACUGGGACUGAGACACGGCCCAGAAGCAUACGGGAGGCAGCAGCAGGGAAUCGUCGGAAAUGGCAGGAAGCCUGACCGAGAAACGGCGAGUGAGUGUAGAAGGUUUUCGGAUCGUAAAGUGCUGUCGUAUGAGAAGAACGAGUGUGAGAGGGGAAAGUUCACACUGUGACGGUAUCUUACCAGAAAGGGACGGCUAACUACGUG